GCUGUAGCUCAGAGGUAAAGUGUUUGCCUCGCAUGUGUAAAGCACUGGGUUCGAGUCCCAGCAGAACA
rnacentral:tRNA from 1 species